UGGAUCCAGACUUUGAUUAUGGCUCAGGAUUAACGCUUGCGGCAUGCCUAAGACAUGCAAGUCGUACGAGAAGGCCCAUUGAUACAAAUUGAAGUUGGAGUGCUUGCACAAAGAUGGAUGUUUAUUGAUUUGGAUUUUCCUUCUAGUGGCAAACGGGUGAGUAACACGUGGGUAACCUACCUUUAAGUUGGGGAUAUCACUUGGAAACGAGUAGUAAUACCGAAUGUGAUCUACGGAUUAAAGAAGCCCUUAAAGCUUCGCUUAAAGAUGGGCCUGCGGUGCAUUAGCUAGUUGGCGGGAUAAUAGCCCACCAAGGCAACGAUGCAUAGCCGAACUGAGAGGUUGAUCGGCCACACUGGGACUGAGACACGGCCCAGACUCCUACGGGAGACAGCAGUUAGGAAUAUUCGUCAAUAGGGGAAACCCUGAACGAGCAAUGCCGCGUGAACGAUAAAGGCCCUUCGGGUUGUAAAGUUCUGUUGUUUGGAAAGAAUCUCAUGUAUAGGAAAUGAUACAUGACUGACGGUACCAUUCAAGAAAGCCACGGCUAACUACGUGCCAGCAGCCGCGGUAAUACGUAGGUGGCGAGCGUUAUCCGGAUUUAUUGGGCGUAAAGCGUCCGCAGCCGGUUUAUUAAGUCUAAGAUUAAAGCCCGAAGCUCAACUUCGGUACGUUUUAGAAACUGAUAGGCUAGAGUGUGGUAGAGGCAAGUGGAACUUGUAGUGUAGCGGUAAAAUGCGUAGAUAUUAGAAAGAACACCAGUGGCGAAGGCGACUUGCUGGGCCACCACUGACGGUCAGGGACGAAAGCGUGGGGAGCAAAUAGGAUUAGAUACCCUAGUAGUCCACGCUGUAAACGAUGAGUAUUAAGUGUCGGGUUACCGGUGCUGAAGUUAACACAUUAAGUACUCCGCCUGAGUAGUACGGUCGCAAGGCUGCAACUCAAAGGAAUUGACGGA
rnacentral:rRNA from 1 species